AUUGAACGCUGGCGGCAUGCCUUACACAUGCAAGUCGAACGGCAGCACGGGGGCAACCCUGGUGGCGAGUGGCGAACGGGUGAGUAAUGCAUCGGAACGUCGCCCCGUAGGCGGGGGAUAACCAGUCGAAAGACUGGCUAAUACCGCAUACGCUCCACGGAGGAAAGCGAGGGGAUCGCAAGACCUUGCACUAUGGGAGCGGCCGAUGCCCGAUUAGCUAGUUGGUGAGGUAAAGGCUCACCAAGGCGACGAUCGGUAGCUGGUUUGAGAGAACGACCAGCCACACUGGGACUGAGACACGGCCCAGACUCCUACGGGAGGCAGCAGUGGGGAAUUUUGGACAAUGGGCGCAAGCCUGAUCCAGCCAU
rnacentral:rRNA from 1 species